GAUGAACGCUGGCGGCGUGCCUAAUACAUGCAAGUCGGGCGAACAGACGAGGAGCUUGCUCCUCUGACGUUAGCGGCGGACGGGCGAGUAACACGUGGAUAACCUACCUAUAAGACUGGGAUAACUUCGGGAAACCGGAGCUAAUACCGGAUAAUAUAUUGAACCGCAUGGUUCAAUAGUGAAAGACGGUUUUGCUGUCACUUAUAGAUGGAUCCGCGCCGCAUUAGCUAGUUGGUAAGGUAACGGCUUACCAAGGCAACGAUGCGUAGCCGACCUGAGAGGGUGAUCGGCCACACUGGAACUGAGACACGGUCCAGACUCCUACGGGAGGCAGCAGUAGGGAAUCUUCCGCAAUGGGCGAAAGCCUGACGGAGCAACGCCGCGUGAGUGAUGAAGGUCUUCGGAUCGUAAAACUCUGUUAUUAGGGAAGAACAAAUGUGUAAGUAACUAUGCACGUCUUGACGGUACCUAAUCAGAAAGCCACGGCUAACUACGUG
rnacentral:rRNA from 1 species